rnacentral:misc_RNA from 1 species
GAUGAAGAACGUAGCGAAAUGCGAUAAGUAAUGUGAAUUGCAGAAUUCAGUGAAUCAUCGAAUCUUUGAACGCACAUUGCGCCCGCCAACACUCUGGCGGGCAUGCCUGUUCGAGCGUCAUUUCAACCAUCAAGCCCCCAGGGGCUUGUGCUGGGGCCCUGCGGCUGCCCGCAGGCCCUGAAAACCAGUGGCGGGCUCGCUAGUCACACCGAGCGCAGUAGCACAUCUCGCUCAGGGCGUGCGGCGGGCUCCUGCCGUGAAACCCCCCACUGUAACCCCAAAGGUUGACCUCGGAUCAGGUAGGAAUACCCGCUGAACUUAAGCAUAUCAAUAAGCGGAGGA